UACAGAGGUCUCAAGCGUUGUUCGGAUUCAUUGGGCGUAAAGGGUGCGUAGGUGGCGCUGUAAGUCGGGUGUGAAAUUUCGGAGCUUAACUCCGAAACUGCAUUUGAUACUGGCGUGCUUGAGGACUGGAGAGGAGACUGGAAUUCAUGGUGUAGCAGUGAAAUGCGUAGAGAUCAUGAGGAAGACCAGUGGCGAAGGCGGGUCUCUGGACAGUUCCUGACACUGAGGCACGAAGGCCAGGGGAGCAAACGGG
rnacentral:rRNA from 1 species